UUGUGGAGGAGGACGCCGAAGGUGGGGCUAAUGACUGGGGUGAAGUCGUAACAAGGUAGCCGUACCGGAAGGUGCGGCUGGAUCACCUCCUAACAGGGAGACAACAAAAUGUUUAAUAUUAUUAUUUUGUCACCUUAGGUCGAUCGGUAUCUCACAUUCUUGAUUUAUUAAGGAUUUUAUUUCCUAAGUUUUUUCUAGGUCACACCCAUUACUUUUCCUGGGCCAUUAGCUCAGGUGGUUAGAGCGCACCCCUGAUAAGGGUGAGGUCCCUGGUUCAAGUCCAGGAUGGCCCAUAUCUCUAUGUUGGGGGUAUAGCUCAGUUGGUAGAGCGCCUGCUUUGCAAGCAGGAUGUCAGCGGUUCGAGUCCGCUUACCUCCACUGAUUACCACCUCUUCCAUAAUUUUCAUUAAGGAAAUGUUUUGAGUAGUGAUCAAAUUCUGAACGAAUCUAGCUUCCUAAUGAAAUCAUUAAGAUGCUGGACUCAUUGAAUUAAAUUCAUUGUUUUCAGAGAACCUUGACAACUGCAUAGAUUAUUUUUAAAGACAAUAAGCAUCUUUAUGAUGCAGAUUUAUUAUUUGUGCAAAUGCAUUAAUAACAAUUCUAUUAAGCUGAUGCUUCAAUUAUGAAGUUAUUGGUCAAGCUACAA
rnacentral:misc_RNA from 1 species